UACGUAGGGUGCAAGCGUUGUCCGGAAUUAUUGGGCGUAAAGAGCUCGUAGGCGGUUUGUCGCGUCGAAUGUGAAAACCCGGGGCUCAACCCCGGGCCUGCAUCGAUGACGGGCGACUAGAUGUCGUGGAGGGAGUGUGAAUUCCUGGUGUAGCGGUGAAAUGCGCAGAUAUCAGGAGGAACACCGGUGGCGAAGGCGGGACUCUGGGCCGAUACUGACGCUGAGGAGCGAAAGCGUGGGGAGCAAACAGG
rnacentral:rRNA from 1 species